UACGUAGGGUGCGAGCGUUGUCCGGAAUUAUUGGGCGUAAAGAGCUCGUAGGCGGUCUGUCGCGUCGGUCGUGAAAACUUGGGGCUUAACCCUGAGCUUGCGGUCGGAUACGGGCAAACUAGAGUAUUGCAGGGGAGACUGGAAGUUCCUGGUGUAGCGGUAAAAUGCGCAGAUAUCAGGAGGAACACCGGUGGCGAAGGCGGGGUCUCUGGGCAAUAACUGACGCUGGAGGAGCGAAAGCGUGGGGAGCGAACAGG
rnacentral:rRNA from 1 species